GAUGAACGCUGGCGGCGUGCCUAAUACAUGCAAGUCGAGCGAACGGACGAGAAGCUUGCUUCUCUGAUGUUAGCGGCGGACGGGUGAGUAACACGUGGAUAACCUACCUAUAAGACUGGGAUAACUUCGGGAAACCGUAGCUAAUACCGGAUAAUAUUUUGAACCGCAUGGUUCAAAAGUGAAAGACGGUCUUGCUGUCACUUAUAGAUGGAUCCGCGCUGCAUUAGCUAGUUGGUAAGGUAACGGCUUACCAAGGCAACGAUGCAUAGCCGACCUGAGAGGGUGAUCGGCCACACUGGAACUGAGACACGGUCCAGACUCCUACGGGAGGCAGCAGUAGGGAAUCUUCCGCAAUGGGCGAAAGCCUGACGGAGCAACGCCGCGUGAGUGAUGAAGGUCUUCGGAUCGUAAAACUCUGUUAUUAGGGAAGAACAUAUGUGUAAGUAACUGUGCACAUCUUGACGGUACCUAAUCAGAAAGCCACGGCUAACUACGUGCCAGCAGCCGCGGUAAUACGUAGGUGGCAAGCGUUAUCCGGAAUUAUUGGGCGUAAAGCGCGCGUAGGCGGUUUUUUAAGUCUGAUGUGAAAGCCCACGGCUCAACCGUGGAGGGUCAUUGGAAACUGGAAAACUUGAGUGCAGAAGAGGAAAGUGGAAUUCCAUGUGUAGCGGUGAAAUGCGCAGAGAUAUGGAGGAACACCAGUGGCGAAGGCGACUUUCUGGUCUGUAACUGACGCUGAUGUGCGAAAGCGUGGGGAUCAAACAGGAUUAGAUACCCUGGUAGUCCACGCCGUAAACGAUGAGUGCUAAGUGUUAGGGGGUUUCCGCCCCUUAGUGCUGCAGCUAACGCAUUAAGCACUCCGCCUGGGGAGUACGACCGCAAGGUUGAAACUCAAAGGAAUUGACGGGGACCCGCACAAGCGGUGGAGCAUGUGGUUUAAUUCGAAGCAACGCGAAGAACCUUACCAAAUCUUGACAUCCUUUGACAACUCUAGAGAUAGAGCCUUCCCCUUCGGGGGACAAAGUGACAGGUGGUGCAUGGUUGUCGUCAGCUCGUGUCGUGAGAUGUUGGGUUAAGUCCCGCAACGAGCGCAACCCUUAAGCUUAGUUGCCAUCAUUAAGUUGGGCACUCUAAGUUGACUGCCGGUGACAAACCGGAGGAAGGUGGGGAUGACGUCAAAUCAUCAUGCCCCUUAUGAUUUGGGCUACACACGUGCUACAAUGGACAAUACAAAGGGCAGCGAAACCGCGAGGUCAAGCAAAUCCCAUAAAGUUGUUCUCAGUUCGGAUUGUAGUCUGCAACUCGACUACAUGAAGUUGGAAUCGCUAGUAAUCGUAGAUCAGCAUGCUACGGUGAAUACGUUCCCGGGUCU
rnacentral:rRNA from 1 species